UACGUAGGGCGCAAGCGUUAUCCGGAAUUAUUGGGCGUCAAGAGCUCGUAGGCGGUUUGUCGCGUCUGCCGUGAAAGUCCGGGGCUCAACUCCGGAUCUGCGGUGGGUACGGGCAGACUAGAGUGAUGUAGGGGAGACUGGAAUUCCUGGUGUAGCGGUGAAAUGCGCAGAUAUCAGGAGGAACACCGAUGGCGAAGGCAGGUCUCUGGGCAUUAACUGACGCUGAGGAGCGAAAGCAUGGGGAGCGAACAGG
rnacentral:rRNA from 1 species